GAGUAAUCAAAGGCAAGGUUAGUGGCGGACGGGUGAGUAAUACAUGGGUAACGUGCCCCUUACUCAGGAAUAGCGGCGUCCUUCGGGACAUUAGCGAAAGUGCCGGUAAUACCUGAUGACCCCUCGGAGUCGCAUGGCUCUGGGGGCAAAGCUCCGGCGGUAAGGGAUCGGCCCAUGGCCUAUCAGCUUGUUGGUGGGGUAACGGCCUACCAAGGCAACGACGGGUACCGGGUGUGAGAGCAUGACCCGGCACAUCGGGACUGAGACACUGCCCGGACACCUACGGGUGGCUGCAGCAACGAAUAUUCCGCAAUGGGCGCAAGCCUGACGGAGCGACGCCGCGUGCAGGAUGAAGGCGCUUUGCGUCGUAAACUGCUGUCAGGGGUCAGAAAUUUUGAUCAGCCCCAAAGGAAGCCUCGGCUAACUCCGUGCCAGCAGCCGCGGUAAUACGGAGGAGGCAAACGUUGUUCGGAAUCACUGGGCUUAAAGCGCGUGCAGGCGGAAUGGAAGGCGUCCCGUGAAAGCCCCCGGCUCAACCGGGGAAUUGCGGGGCGAACCAUCAUUCUUGAGGCAGGUAGAGGCGAGCGGAACUAUGGGUGGAGCGGUGAAAUGCGUAGAUAUCCAUGGGAACGCCGGUGGCGAAAGCGGCUCGCUGGGCCUGAUCUGACGCUGAGACGCGAAAGCGUAGGGAGCAAACAGGAUUAGAUACCCUGGUAGUCUACGCCGUAAACGAUGCGCACUAGGUACGAGAGGUUCUGACGCCGAUCGUUGCCGGAGCAAAAGUGUUCAGUGCGCCGCCUGGGGAGUACGGGCGCAAGGCUAGAACUCAAAGGAAUUGACGGGGGCUCAACACAAGCGGUGGAGCAUGUGGAUACAUUCGAAGCAACGCGAAGAACCUUACCUGGGUGUGACAUGCACGGAUUGCCCUCCCUGAAGGGGGAGUAAGCUGCUUCGGGUGAAACGUGCCCGGUGCUGCAUGGUGGCGUCAGCUCGUGCCUGGAAGUGUCGGGUUAAGUCCCUUAACGAGCGUAACCCCUAUCGUUAGUUGCCANCGGUUCGGCCGGGGACUUUAGCGAGACCGCCGGCGUUAAGCCGGAGGAAGGUGGGGAUGACGUCAAGUCCUCAUGGCCUUUAUGCCCAGGGUGUCACACAGUGCUACAAUGGACGUUACAGAGCGACGCGAGACCGCGAGGUGGAGCAAAUCGCAAAAAGACGUCCUCAGUUCGGAUUGGAGUCUGCAACUCGACUCCAUGAAGUCGGAAUCGCCAGUAAUCGCGCAUCAGC
rnacentral:rRNA from 1 species